GGGUCGGGCCGGGCCGGGCAGCGCCCGCCCGCUGACAUGGCCGCGGGGCAGUGCCCGCCGCCCGCACCUGCACGGACGGCCCCGCGCUGAGCAAGCCUCGCUCCUUAUGCAUUACAAAAGGAGGUCCCUCAGCGAACCAGCGCUCAGCUCCAUCUCUUACAGCACGGGUGCGACGGGGAGCACACACAGGUUCAAAGUGUUUCUACCCCACCAGUGAAAACAGAUGCAGGCUAUUUCUGGCAAGAAAAAAAAAACAGUGGAAAGAUACAUAUUUUAAAAAAUUAACUGCUUAUAAAAAUCUUCUAUGACUGGAGCUCUACAUGAUGCAAAUGGCAAUCUUUUAGAUCGAAACAAAUCAGUGUGCACCCUCAGAAUGCAUUAAUACCAUUCACAAACAGGAUCGCAAAUGCCCUCUCAGCAUUUCACCAAAUAAAUACAGCAACAGAACCAAGUCCAAAAUACGUUAAUUUCAACAGACAUGUUUGUAUAUGUUCACAGCAGACAGAUUCCAGCAUUCUGUGCUUAACCUUAAGUAAAGGCUGGGCCUGGUUCAUACAAAUGUGGUAUAAAUACAUGCAAGUUUAGGAACCAGAACUCACACAGCAAAACUCCAGCUCUGACUGCUGUAAAAAAGCAGGUAGUAAAAGCUUAAUUACCAGUAGCAUUAUGCUGUCUAUAUUGUUAAAUGUGAACUCUAUAAUUAAGAUGUAAAAUCGCUUGUGAGCAGUGAAUUAAGGAGCUCUGAAAUGUAGAGUAAAUUCCAAGCCCUCUGUAGAAACAUCAGAGACCAAAAAAAUCAUUUUUUAUCAAAUUUUAAAAUGAGGCAUUUAAUCAUGUUGUAGUAUUAGAAUACCCUCUUAAGUAACAAUUUGAUAAAUGUGGAUUUUGGAAUCAAAUAGGAACUUAAAUAAGAUGUGUUUAUUCUAUGUAUUUAUUACUACAUAAACUCAAAAUGCAGUUCCUAUAAAUUGAUUGCCAUGUGCACAUUAGCAAACUAUGAAAAUACAAAUGCAUUGUUUGUAGUGAGUCUCUGAGUGCCCAUUUAUAAUUUAUAUUUAAAAUCGCUAUUUCUCAAUAUUUUUCACUAAAAUGCCUUCAAAUCAUUUCACGUGUAUGUGUUCUUAUUUUCAAGUGACCUAUAACCGAUACAUGAGUCAUUUGCUAAAGUCACUUCUGCCUAUUAAGUGCCCUGAAAUACACCCUCCUUAAUAUAUGACAGCUGAUCCAUUUUGAAAUUUACCAAAGCACAGGUCAGCUUAAUUUCUACUUCUGUGCAUUAUUUCCUGAGGUGAUAUAUUUAUAUGCAGGAGCUGGAACAUGAUGGUCUGUUUCUUUCUGUCAUGGAAGCCCUCCUUUCCACUUUCCUAUAAUUUGCGCUACCUUAUUGGCUUGUUCCCCCCAGCGCUCUACACCACCCAAAUACAUUUUUCCUCUCACCAUCACUACUUUUCCAUCUCUUAUCUCUCAUCCAAGCAAACGGUUCUCUUCCCUGCCAGUGCUGCUGCCUGGCUGACCAGAAACCCAGUGCUGUACUUUGCAUGUUGAUAAACAAAGCAGUUGGCUUCUUCCCCUGGGACAGAAAGUGCCACCUCCACCAGAGCAGGGCCUGGAAUUCCAACCACAUUCUUGAACUUGGGUUUCACAGUUACCCAUCAGUUUGGAGGGGAGAAAAGAAGAUAAGAAAAAGAUUACUGCAGCAAAUAAACUGGGGCUAAAUAUAGCUUCGUUUCCUCGAGCUUUUUAAUAGAAAUAAAUAAAAAUAGAUCUAGUGGAAAAAAGAUACAAUUUAACUGAAUCUUAUAGGGCGAAUAAGAACAUGCAUGCAACUGCCCAUGUGCACCAACUUAUCAAAAUGAACAGUGCAAAAUCUUACCACAAGGAGUCUAUACAAAGCAGUAGUAACAGAAUCAGAGAAGGGAAGGAAAAAAAUGUCCCAAGCGUCUGUACCAGUCAAGGGGCAUUUCUGAGCAGCAUCUACAUUUCCAUCUCUCUCUGUGCAUAUAAUUUGUCCUGUGUACAGUCCAUCUUUAAGCAUCUUCACAUUUAACUACUACAGACAUUUCAAAGCAUCCAAACAGCCAGAUUCCUACAAAACAACUACAUCAAGGCAACUGAAGAAGUAAGAUUCAGUGGCACUUCACAGCAGCUGCACAGUGCAUUGUGUCAAGUUCGUCUUUACCAAAAGGAGCAACAAGUUCGAGUCACCUGUGAAGGAGCAAAAAUAUAGAAAAAAAAAUCUAGCAGCUGCUGAGAAUUUAUUUGAAAACAAGCAUACCGUUACUUAAGAUGGAAGUUUGCUGUACACUACGGUACCUUAUUCAAGGUAUAGCUGGAGAAUAUCAUAUUGUUAAGUUUGAAAUAAAUAUUGAAUGAUCAUC